CGGAGACUAGUAUUGAAUAUAUUAAAUUUUACAUUUACAAUUGAAGUAAUUAGUACUAACAAAAACGUUAUUGCAGAUUACAUAUCAAGCAAAGCUACACAGACUGAUAUAAUAGAAGAUGAUGCUUUAGAAAAGAUACUCAAAACCCUAACUACGCUUUCAAUGAAAGUGGACAGUAUGGGUAAUGAAAUAGAAAAGCUAAAGACUAAUGAAGUUAAACUGAAGUCUAAAG
rnacentral:lncRNA from 1 species